UGGCACAGUGGUUAAGUGCUCGGCUGUGAACCGAAAGGUCAGUGGUUCAAACCCACU
rnacentral:tRNA from 1 species